CCUACGGGAGGCAGCAGUGAGGAAUAUUGGUCAAUGGACGAGAGUCUGAACCAGCCAAGUAGCGUGAAGGAUGACUGCCCUAUGGGUUGUAAACUUCUUUUAUAUGGGAAUAAAAUGUUCCACGUGUGGGAUUUUGUAUGUACCAUAUGAACAAGGAUCGGCUAACUCCGUGCCAGCAGCCGCGGUAAUACGGAGGAUCCGAGCGUUAUCCGGAUUUAUUGGGUUUAAAGGGAGCGUAGGUGGAUUGUUAAGUCAGUUGUGAAAGUUUGCGGCUCAACCCCGUACUGCCGUUGAAACUGCAUCCCUUGAGUGCGCGAGAAGUAUGCGGAAUGCGUGGUGUAGCGGUGAAAUGCAUAGAUAUCACGCAGAACUCCGAUUGCGAAGGCAGCAUACCGGCGCGCAACUGACGCUCAUGCACGAAAGCGUGGGUAUCGAACAGGAUUAGAUACCCCAGUAGUC
rnacentral:rRNA from 1 species